GACAGAGGGUGCAAACGUUGCCCGGAAUCACUGGGCGUAAAGGGCGUGUAGGCGGGAAGGAGAGUCAGUCGUGAAAUCUCUCGGCUCAACCGAGAAACGUCGGCUGAUACUGCCGUUCUUGAGGGAUGCAGAGGAGACUGGAAUUCCCGGUGUAGCGGUGAAAUGCGUAGAGAUGCGGAGGAACACCGAUGGCGAAGGCAGCCCCCUGGGCUAACACUGACGCUCAGGCACGAAAGCGUGGGGAGCAAACAGG
rnacentral:rRNA from 1 species